UUGACCCCAGCCAGGGAAAUUUCAUGUGCCACAAGUGUGGCCCUAAAAAGAAAAAAAAAAAAAAGAUUCCCAGACCUCAUUUGCAAUACGUAUAAUUUAGGAAUGAUUAACUGUUGAAUAAUUGAUAUUUAUUCAAAAAUUAUUAGUCCAGAUGUAGUUAGUCUUUGUUCUCAUGGAAUUUGCAGUACAGAAGGAGAGUUCAACAUUAAAUAAUAUACAAAUAAAUGAAUGAGGAAUAGAAGACAAAUAAUGAUCCUUUCAGAGCAUAUAACAAAAGUACCUGACCUAGUCAUUACCAAGUGAUACUUUUCUUGGAUUUGAUGGAUAAGUAGUCAUUAACUUGGUUAAAAGAGGGGGUGAAAGGAAGUACAUUCCAGGAUUGGGAAGUACAAUGUUCAAAGGUCCUGUGGUAGCAAAAAGCAUAGAUAGUUUGAAGAGCUAAAAUAAGGCCAGUAGAAAUAGCUAUUGAAAUGUUUUAAGCAUGGGAGUGAAUGUUACAGGGUAAUUUGAGAUGAUAUAAAACAGGGCAUAGAAUAAUGCUUUUAUCAUUAAACAACAAGAUAUGCUAGAUGUUAAUAGGAGAUAAAAGUAUACAAAUCACUUAAAACAAUUUUCCCCCAACUCAAAAGCAUUAUCAAAAUACUACCUGAUGUUGUUCAGUAACUAGGGUGCUUCACUAAAAAAAGGCAAGAGUGAAAUAUAAUGGCACCACUGAGAUUUUUUUUCCAAGGUGAAAAUCUUCCAGCUGAAAGAGCAAAAGAUAUAAGGUACACCAUGUUUAAAAGAACAGCCUGACUUUAGGGAAAACAAAUGAAAGGAUUUGUCAGAAAUCUCCACUGCAGAGCUACUGAUGGAUGCUAACUCAGUUUGAUACAGUACAGGGGAAACGCCAGAGGAGCAGCCAUACAGGUUGUGAUCAAAUGUACCUGCUUGGAAACAAUUAAAUAUGCAGUCACCUGAAUUCCUGGGUCAGUUUCCAACUAAAGAAAUUAUAAGCUACUUUGCUACAACUAAAAUUUCUCCUUAAGUAACAUAAAAUGGAUAUUUUAUUUUGAACUGAAGUGAAAUUUCAAGAAAAGUAUCAAUGGAAUUGGUGAGGUUUUAUUUUUUUUCUUCCUUAAGAAUACUGCUGGGGAAUUUACUAAUAGACAUACAAAUGAGGGUGAUAGGAUGUCAGCUCCAGUAAGAACAUUAAUUAAAAGAAAAGUGUUGACAUUUCUGUAAGUUCAUGCUAGUAGAUCAAACACAAACCCAAAGGAAGAGAGAGAAGGUCAAGGUGAUAUUCUACAUGCCAGAAAGUAAGUUAAAAGUUUCUGAAUAAGCUAAGAUAUAUGAAGCUGCAGACCUGUCGACUUUUUUUGCUUAUAAAGAGUCUAAAAUAGAACCACCUAAAACUUAAGUGGCAAGGAAUUUGGAGAAAUAUUAGGUAGCAACUGGCAUGACUUAAUGUAGAAGAGACCAAUAUAAAUUUUGUUCUUUGACAAAGCAGCAGAUCAUGAAAAUAAAGGAAGCAAGGAUAUGAAAUCUACUGUAACUUUAGCAACAUUUUAAGUUCUAUCAUGCAAUACACAGUACCAUGUAAGAGGAAAUGUACUGAGGUGACUAGAAAAGUGGUUAAUUUUACACCAGAAUAAAUUGCAGAUAUAUUGAAGAUUUAAAUAUCCAAAAAUUAAAUUAUUAAAAGAUACCUGAAUAUUUACUGGAAAGAGCAACCAUAAGCAAUGUGAAAAAACAUAAAGUCAAAGAAAAAAGGGAAAGUACUUAUAACAUCAUCAUCAAAUGAACACACUAGCAAAUACAAAAAAAAAAAAUCCAAAAUAAAGACAAUUAACAGAUUAGGGAAAACAAUGGCAAAUAAUAUGGUAGAAGCCAGACUACAAUUUUUCUUAUACAGCAAGUCACCAAGAUACCAAUGAGAAAAUAAGAAUGACAAAGACAAUAGAAUUAAGUCCAGGUUUCUAAGGAGGUUUUGUUUGGGUCAUUAGUUUGAUCCCUAUGUAUCUUUGUUUUCUCCUGUCAUAUAACAAAUUAUCUCAGAAUUUAACAGCGUAAAUUACUAAAUAUUUAUCAUCUCACGGUUUCUGUAAAUUAGAAAUUUAGAAGCACCUUAGCUCACUGGGACAGUAGUCCUCUGAGGCCUUGACUAGGGCUGGAAAAUCUAUUCCCAAGAUGGCUCAUAUACCUGGAUGCUGGAAGGAGUCAUGAGUCUCAUGUUACUUCUCCAUAGGCUGGCUGAGUAUCCUCUCAUCAUGGUAGCUGAUUUCCUCCUCAGUGAAUGAUUCAAGAAAUAACAAGGGGAAAGCCAUAGUGUGUUUUACGAGCUAGCCUCAUAAGUCACAUUUUGUUUCUUCCAUAACAUUUUAUUGGUUACACAGGGCAGCCCCAUCCAAUGUGGGAGAAGAAUAAACUAGGGCUUGAUUGUCAUAAGAUUCCCAUUGAUUUCCCAAAGAAAAUGUAAAUAUUUCCUUCAUUGCCUAAACAUUUAUUGAAUAUCUAGAAUGUGCUAUCCAGAGUACUAAGUGCUACCUUGGUAAAACCAAUUCAAAACAGGUGAUCUCACAGUCACAAAGAAUUCUAGCAAUAGUAGUAUAUUUCAAAAGUGGGCAAGAGUGAGCAAUGUACUUAUCAAGUGGCUCAACUUCUAUGGGCUACUGCUCUAAAAGAAUAUCAAAAUUCUUUUCAAUGGCCAAAGAGCUGUCCGUCAAUGUCAAGAUAUUUCUGCCCAACACUACUCUUGUCCCAAGUAUGUCAACACAAAUUUCCAAACAAAGCCAGUAGCUUUCUAGCCAGGACCAAUACAAGAAUACUCAACUUGUGCUUGAAAGGUUUGCAGAAAUUCUCUAGAUUGUUUGAAGUUGCAGAAAUUCUCUAUAUUGUUUCAAAUCUAACUUAUAAAUUGUCCUAAAGGUCUAAAACUCUACCCUAUUUACCAAAGAUUAUGCUAUUAGUCCACAAACCUUCAAGUAUGCAUCUUGCUUUGUCUACUACCCAAUCAACAAAAAUUUGUGGAAUACCUGGCACUAUACUAUCUCUGGAAAAACACACAUUGUCUCCAUGGGAAAAAUAGGCAACAAGUAAGCAAACAACUAAAUAAUGUAGCUUGUCCGGCUCUGGGAAUGAGACCUUGAAAUAGCAUACAUUCCUAUUAAACCACAUCUUUGUUGUCCAUCUUGGGAUGGAAAGUCUGACCAUAAUCAAAUAGAUAAAAAAAAGUACAGAACACUCUAGUGAAUACACAAAUAUAUCUUAUUCUGUUAGCACUAUCCCCAGUUAAGGAAUGCUUCACUUUGAAAUUAUUUUUGUCUUUAAAUAUUCCAUCGCUUUUUUUCUUACUUUUAGUUUAUUUUUCAUUUAUUAAAGUGUAGCUGAUUUGCUAUGUUGUACCAAGUUCUGUUGUAUAGCAAAGUGACACAGUCAUACAUAUAUAUAUAUACAUUUUUUCCUCAUAUUAUCUUCCAACAGGUUCUUGCCCAAGAGAUUGCUUUAACUCCCCAUGGUAUACAGUAGGACCUCAUUGCUUAUCCAUUCUAAAUAUAAUAGUUUGAAUCAAUUAACCCCAAACUCCCCAUCCAUUCCACUCCCUUCCACCUCCCCCUUGGAAACCACAAGUCUAUUUUCUAUGUUCGUGAGUUUGUCUCUGUUUUGUAGAUAGAUUCAUUUAGACCUUGCUUUCUGAGAUUCUAGGCCUAAUUAGAAUUACUAAUUCUAUUGAUUACUAAUUCUAUUGAUUACUAAUGAUGUAAUCAAUAAUAAUAAUACAGUACUUACAGUUUUAAAUAUUUUUCUUAAAUAUCUCAUUUAAAAAUAAUAAUACAGCUGAUAAUGUUAUAUUAAUAAAGCUUAUUAAGCAUUAUGAAAAUGCUUGGCAGGAACUUGGAUCUAUCAGAUGAUGGUUUGGCUGAAACAGGGGAAAAGAGGAGAGUCCUUCAAAUGAGGUAAUAGAGCUAUGAGAAAAGGAUGAAACUAUACAGGGCCUUAAGGCCCAUGCUAAGGAGUUUAGGUUUUAAGCUACAUGCACUGGGAAACCAGGGAAUAAUUCUCCUCAAGCAAGUGACAAGUUCAGACUUAAAUCUGUAUUUCCUGGCAUGCUGCAUUAUAUCUAUGCAGUUGUGUGAAAACUGCUAAAGAGAGAGUGGGUCAGUCAAGGCCAAGGAACUAGGCAGGCUGACUUGGCAUAUAUAGGUACCCAGACCCUUGGCUUUGUCUUCAUUAGAACAGUGCCACUUACGGUGGACACUUAAAUAAACACAACUAUUGCUACUGAAGGUUGGUAUGUCCUCAUUUACUGAAAGUGAAAGGUCUUCUCUUCAUGACUCAUCCACAUAUCCUGCCGAUCCUCUUAAUUAAAAAGUUUUCAAACAAGUUGAUGCAUUAGUUAUUAUGAGCCCAGACCCACCAGGCAUAAAUCCUUUUUGCCACCCAUAUGCAUGCCAGAACUUCACUGCUACAUCUUUAAUCAUUAUGAGGGAGAUUCUUCAAUAUAAUUUUCAUGACACCAUCUGCCAUGUUCUCCUCUUAUGCUUAUUGGUGGGGCGACUGCUCAGUGAUUAUAAAUAUCAGAUCUGGCUUCUUUUAAAAAUAAAGCCCUAACAGAGACUCAAGGUGGGGAGAAAGAGUCAUAAGACUUAUCACAGUCUUAGGAAUGUAUUCUGGGUUAGUCUUUUUUACACCAAAAUCAAUAAUGCAGCUAAGAAUGGAAGUAAACUGAAUUUGUGAUCAUCUUAGUUUUCAGCAAAUUAACUGACUCAUUCUUGCAUCCUUUUAAAGUAUUGUACUUUUCCAUCAGUAUAAUUGGUUAUAGAUUGAGAACACUUAAAGGGGGAAUAGCAGUUGUAAAAAUUAAGCUGUCUCUCCACUUACCUUAAACCUAACUAUCCAACGACUCUGAAGCUCAAUAUCCUCUGAGAUGACUUCUCUGAUUAACAUAAUCACAUGUUUUCUUCAUAUUAUGUGACAUUAUAUGUGGCCUCUGGCACAAAGCCACUAGCAAAUAGGCAUGUAUCUUAUUUGUUUUUUUUCCAUUCCCUACCCUCCAACAACAACAACAAAAAAAUCCUCAGAGACAAGGACUUGGUUGAAAGGAAUUUAUUUUGGAGAUACUCACGGGAAGCAGGAAUUACAAAAUGAGGAGAGUAAGACAUAGAAGGAGAGGGAAAAAAAUGGAGUGCUGAUAACCACUGUGGGCAACUGAUAACUCAGUGCAGCUGGGGACUAAUUCUUGAGAGUCCACAGAGAAUACACCUAAGAAUUUCCUCUAAAGGACUAGAGGCUAAGGCGUUUAUCUUAUUUUUCCACUGAUUGAGAUUUGCCACUGGAGGUAUUAACUCUGUGCUCUUCUAUUCUGCCCAAAAGGUAGACUAAGAGAGCUUUGGGGACUUAAAAAAAAAAAAAAAAAAAAAAAAAAAAAGCCCUGAGGUAGAACAGAGAGGUGGAAGGCUUUUAAGGUGGGAUACGGUCAGCUUACAUGGGAACUGUCCAACACAGAUACAUCUGAAUUCAUGAUGGAUUAAGAGAAUGUGGACACAAAAAGUAUCUGCUGCAACAAAGAAGUGAUAUUGCUAUUGAUAAUGUGAAAAGUGUGAACAAUCAUUUCUCUUAUUUCUUAGAGUUAUAGAGAGACUGACUGAUCAGCUGGCUGAGUCUGAGAAUUGCUUGACAAGUAGUAAAUGAGGACCUAGUGACAAUUAGCUGAACACCAUUGGGCAAUACAGAAGUUAAAGACAAGAUGUGCAGUUCUCAAGGAGUUUAUAAUCUAGUAGGGAUUAUCAGCAGCCAUAAAACACACUACUAUAUAACUACUGGUUUUGACAAUAAAGGCACAAAAAGUGAAAGACAGUAUCUUGAAGUGAUUUAGAAAUUCCACUCUGGAGUCAGACUUAGGUUUACAUCUAUGCCAGUAAGUUACCCUAAUAUCAAUUCCUAUUAUCCUACUCCUUCGGUAUCAUAAUUUGUUCAUCAAAAAAAAAAGAAAAGAAAAAUAAUAGUAUCUGCUUCACAGUAUGGUUGUGAGAAUUAAAUAUAUGUAAAGAAUUAAUUGCAGUGCCUGGGACAUAAAUUUUCAGUAAAUAAUGGUUAUUUUUAUGAAGACUGAGUAGAAAUAUAAAAGAAUGAGAUUUUAGGAAAAGACAAAGGAUCUCAUCUUCAUGCCAGAUCUUUUCUCUUCCUUAAAUACCAAUCUUCUAUAGUCCCUAUUCUAGUGCCAUUUUACCUUUUUAAAAUGCUACAUUAUCUAAGGAACUAUGAAUAGUAAAACCAAAAUACAGUGAUUUUAAGAUACAGAAAUAGAGCACAAGAUGCAUGGGCUUUAGAGCAAUACUAACCUAAAUUCAAAUCCAUACAUUUUGUCACUGCAUGACUUUGGAUAAAUCUAAGUGCUCUGCCAUUGGGUUUUCUGAUCUAUAAAAUGGGAACAAUAUUGUCUGCUUCAUAUUGUCUGCCACUACAAAGUUUAAGUGAGAGUAUUUCUAAAGAGUUCCCAACACAUUUCAUACCCUCAAAAGUGAAUAUUCACUCUUGGACACUUACUAGGCACUAUACCAGGUUCUGGGGAAUAAAAAGACAAGGGCAUGAACAAGGUAUGGUCUCAAUAGUAAAAAGUAUUACAGGUUAAUGUUAAUACUUAAACAAACCCAGUCAUUUAUGGUACUCAAGUUAGUAAGUUACCCUAAUAUCAACUCCUAUUAUCCUACUAUUAAAGGGAAGGAUGGAGUAAGGGAAACAGGGAGAGAAAGAAGAAACUAAGCUGGUUAGCUCUGAGACAGGGUUCCUGGAAGUACAAGAUGAUGAGAUCUAUCUAAAUUCAGACUCUCUCUAAGGGUAGGUAAUCGGAAGCUCGCAACAUGAGCCAAAGUCAGAGAAGGUUUCUCUAACAAAGGGCUAAGCAUGUAUAAGGUCAACCCUACCUACCCUGAACUUGGAACAUGUAACAGUGUUGCUCCUCCCCUAUAUUUUAAUCCAGGUAAAACCAAUUAAUAACCACAAGGAAGGGAGAUGAUGUCAUAUGUUGAACAGAGAGAAACAAAGAACAAGGUGAGGGUAAGGAAUGCUCUACAAGCACAGUAUAUAUAUGGUCUCAUCACAAGUCAAUGCCUUGCAAAGCUAUAGUGGUGAUUCAUCAACGAGGAGGAUACAAGACAAUAUCUCAAUUUUACUGUAUCUCAAGAAUGGGUCUCAGAAUGAGCAUGGUCUUUACGGGUCUGCACUCCUCCUUUGCUCAAUAGCAUUCCUUCCUCACAUUUGCAGAACACUUUAUAGUUCACAAACCACUUUAAUGUCCAUUAUCUCACAUAAUUCUCAGAAAACUCUGUGUGAUUUGAGACUUUUUAUCUCCAUUUCAUAGCUGAACAAUCAGUCUUAGAAUGCAUAUGCAACCUGUCUGAGGUCCCAAGAUGUAAAAGAACUCAGACUAAAAUUCAAAUUUUCUGGUCCCAUUUCCUGAUCAUUUCUCACAUGUGCAUAGACUUCUGAGGGAAAAGAAGGUGAAAUCAAUGGAAAUGGAAGGCAGUGACAAUGGGAAGCAAUCUGUCCUCAGAAAACUUGAGGGAUGUCCUUCAAAUCAGAAUUCCUAAAAAAAGAACUGGUCAUUCCAAAUCUAUGCCAUCACUAAAGGCAGUUAGAUGUGGAAACCUUUAUGAGCAUGGAGCUUACUCCAUGAAGAACACCAUUAGACUCAAGACAGUAAAAUUCAUUUUAAACUAAAUGGUGAGUAAUCAAGUUGCUAAGGUUUAUGAGCCUUGCACUAACACUAAUACUGAGGUACAGUGUCAACAAUAAAACCAUAACCACUGGCAAAACUAGCCUUCUGUGGAAAAAAGGCAGGUCUUUUCCCUCAGCCUAAAGGCAAAAACAGCAUCAGGCAAUUUCAAGAAUAACAAGAUCACUUUCUCUUGCAUGGUCCUAAAUAGUGAAUAGAAAGUACAGCUUCACCCUUAGAAAUAAAUGAUUGUUUGAUAAUGGGACAAGGACAAGAGUAUGUAAUUCUCUAGCUAAAUGUCAAGCAUUUACAAAAGUGGGUGUGUCUAUAUAAUAAAAUAUCCCCAAAAGCAUGGCCAGAGACAAGAAGAAAAUACAGAGCCCCUUUACAUCCAAGUCUGCACAUGCAAUUGUCUGCUACCACAGCAGAGUUCCCCAAAAAGAUGUGAUUUUAAGCAGAAAAGGACUGAGCCCAGUGGGCUUGUCAGAAUGAAUUAUCCUCCUAUUUAGCCCCUAGAGAGAUAAAUGAAUCAGUCCAUUGAGGUCUGAUGAAAAUCUACUUCAAAACGACUGUUUUGGUUUUUGCUUAUUUGGUAGAGAGUUGUUCUUCUUAACUGUAUUGACUAAGAGAAACAACUGCUUCCAGAGGUCAGCCCUGGACAGGACUGGCAAGCCUCAGCAUACCCACUGAGAAGGACCUUGUCUUCAUACUGGCUCUAGAGCCUCACUGUCCAGUGUAGUCACCAAGAGACACACAGCCAGUGAGCACUAAAAUAUGGCCAAUCCAAAUAACACAUGUGGUAAGUAUAAACUACACACCAGAUUCUGAAGACUUAGCAAGAAAAUAAUGUAAGCUAUCUCAUUAAUAAUUUCUAUAUUGAUUACAUGCUAAAAUGAUAGAAUUUUAGAUGUAUCAGCUUAACUAAAACAGAUUAUUAGCUAUAAUUUAAAAAUUAAUUUCACCUAUUUCUUUAUAUAUUUUAAAAUGUGGCUACUAUAAAAUGCAAAAUUACAAAUCUAUCUCAUAUACGCAACUUACAUUGUCUUUCUACAGGACUGUGCUGUUCUAGAGGGUAUAUACUUAUCAUAAAAAAAAAAAAACUCUAUCAAGCCAUUUAGGUAAAUUUAAAAGGAAAAGGUAUAACAGCCAUGUUUUAAUGCUCUUGAGUUCAAGUAAUUUGGAAGUGGCUUUGCUUGCCUUCUAAUGUGCUUUGAAAGUAAAAGGAUGCAAAAUAUUGUAUUUGCUUGCCUGACUGUUUUAGGCAGAUUGAGAUUUCAUUGUCCCCAGUAGGAACAGUGUCUGUUUAACUGAUGUGUAGAGUUUCAACAUUGCAUGAUGGGGCAUGUGGGUGUUUAACUGUGACACUUGAGAAUGCUUAUAGUUCAGCUGUUAGAAUGCGGAGUUGAUCAGUGCUGAUGAGUCUAAGGCUGAGUGUUCAAUCCCCACCCAGACACACUUAGCUCAGCUGUUUUAAAACUAGGGAUACACUCCCCAUCUAAGCUUGCUUUCUUGCAAAUGUUUACUAUUGGUGACAGUGAGGGCCAGUAAAAUAGUUGUACUGUACAUUCUUCAAAUCCAUCACCACAUGCAAACUGCCAUUUGAUCCAUUUUAGAAAAUCCAUCAGUACUACCACAUAAAGCAGCCCAGUUUCAUCCUUUAGGGGGAGUGCCUCACCUGUGCCACGUUGUCACAUAAAGGAAAACAUUUUACAUUCCUUUGUUUAAAAAGAGGGAUUUUUUAAUGCAUGUAGGUUGCAAAAGCUAAUUUAAAAAUACUGUUUCCUUUCCCUCAUUUGCUUCUUGGAAAAUCAUUUUCAAAGUAAAAAAGGUCCCAAACUAAAUCCUAUCCAUCUAGGAGAUGUAAAUCAUAAUGGAAAGCAUGCACUUAUAUACUGUGGCUUCACAUCAGUUUCUAAAACUUUGCUAUUGAACAACUCCUUACAUUAAAUUAGAUUUUUGAGUGAUUUUUGUCCCUCAGAUUGCCAAGAGAUAGAAGCCAACAGUGCUACGUAAAUGAGACUGGAGUCUGGAGAUCCUGAUCAUAGGCCAGGCUUUGCACAAUAGCUGUGUGGCCUGGGACAAUUCAUUUCCCUCUCUGGUUCUGAGUGCCCCUCCCCCCACACCCUGCCUCAUAAGAGCAGACUCACAACUAGUCUUAUCCUAUUGUUUUGAAGCACCUGACAGAUGAUCUUUAGGAGCCUAUACUCUGAUUUUAAAUUUUCUCAAAUCCAUUUUUUUUCCUGUUCCUCUUCAAGAGCAAUAGAGGUGACACCUCAUGAUUUUGGCUGACCUUCAUUUUUAACAGCUGUGCCAGUCAGCUUUGGAACAGGCUCCCAUCUCCAGUGGCUUUUGCACCUGUGAUCUGGCUGGCUCAAGCUCUCUGUUUUCUGCCUGCUUUGGCAGCAGAUUGGAAGUGAGAGUGGUUGCCUAUGUUGUUCUCUGAGCUUUGUACCCCUGGUGACUCAGCUAGUAGAUAUCUAAGGGCCUUGUCAACAGCUAAGACUAUCUCUGCAUUUCCUUGGCUCAAAACGUAGUCCUGGGAAUUACUCUGGCUGGAUCUAGCUAAACAUCUGCCUUCCAAAGUGAAGGUUAACCUUUUCUUAAACACCAGCCAACAAGAAGGCUAGGACAAAGUGGGCCUAUUGUAGCUUGACAACAUUAAUACAUCCAUAGAAUUUGGACAACAGAUGCUAAAAUCAUCAUAAAAGAUAACAUGUAUUGAGCACUUACCAUAGACUAGACACUGUUAUAUAGUGUAUGUGGGGUGGGUUUCUAAUUUAAUCUUUAUAACAUGCCUAUGUAAUGUAAUAAGUACUAUUAUUACUGCCAUUUUACAAAUAUGGAAACAGGUUUAGAGAGAUAAAGAAACAUUCCCAUAGACUAAUAGCUUCUAAGUGACAGGGGUAGGAUUUGAAGAUAGCUAGAGAUGCUUAAUUCUAGAGCUCAGAGAGAUAUGUACUCUACCAUCAGUAUAAUUUUUGGUGGUCAUUGUGACCCAAAAAUUCAAGUUGGGAUUGCUCGACUACAUCAUUUCUUCUAUCUGAGGUGGCUAAACAUCUUAAAUAGUUGUGCAUUAGAUCCAGUCCAUUGAGAAGCAGGCACCAAGGCAGAUUAGAUAUCACUAUUUAUUUUUAAGCUUCCUUCCACUCCUCACAUUUUUUUCCCUCCUUUUAAGGGAAAAGGCAGAAGAGAAGAGGCACAACAGGAGGCAGGCAAUUCUCAAAUUUCUACAGUUCAAUCUUCAGUGCCAGAAGGUAUGAGAGAAUACAACUUUCACAGUGAACAUGCUGGGACAAUGGAGAAUGUUCAUAAGAAGAAGAAAUACUCGUAAUACGCAAUAUAAAGAAACAAGUUCAGAAAAGAUCUGUGUUACUUGCCUAAAGUAGCAUUCAUUGAGCAGAGCAAGGCAGGAUGCUAUUUAGUAGAAGACCUCAAUUUUAGUAAACCUCAGACCACUGCUUUCCCCAGGUCAGUGCUCUUAUGGUGUGAAAGAGAUUAGUAUAAAAUAUCUAUUUUUAAAUUGCUAAUACUAUUUAAUAAUAAUCUCAAUUUCUCAUAUUAAUUGUGCAAUACCUUUAUGAACUAUUAAUAAAUAGAAGUUCGAAAGAGAAAAAGAGAGAUUAUGUUCUGCUUAGGGAAAAUGGGUAUAACGCCACUAGAGAAAAAUGAGAGAUGGAAAAGGGCCUCUUGGGCAAUUGAAAGAAGCUAUGUUAAGUCAGUCUAUUUUAGAUGAUAAAAUCUAUGUCUUUUUAAACGCUUUUUUAUGUAAUAAAUGCCCAGCAGAUAAAUGACCAGACUGGCUCAUUGCCUGGCGGGGUCCAUAUAUUUAAAAGUUCCUCCAUCAGGCAGAGUGCUAAGAGGUUUAUUUAGAAAAUACCUAGGUGUCUCCUGGGUCUGAGCCCUUCUGCUGGAUCAAAGCACACCCCAUGGAUAAAUGUGCCCAGAUUGAAAAGGCUGAAAUCCAGGGCCAUCUGCUGAGAUGUGGCUUUGCUUGAACACCUCACUUUUGAUUAAGAGAUCGCAAACUGCCUUGUUAUUAAAAUUAUAAUUCAAACUUUGUUGGCAGCUACACAAUUAGAACCUCACAGACAGGCCGCCUACCCUUUAAACAUGACAUUUGAGCUAAUACCCCGUCCUUUGCCAAGACACACAUUACGAAAAAUCACUGGAAAAUGAAGGCACUGAAAGUUCAGCAAUCAAAUCCCAAAUGCUGAUUGUCACUGCUCAGUGCCCAUGGUGAAGAGUUUCAUUUAGGCUUAUGAGGAUGUAUCAGCAGAACAGAGCUUAUCACUAGGGCAUCUUUGGGCUGUACCCCAAUCCGACUGUGAAACCCCCAGAAGACACAAAGAAAAAGUUACGUGCCCUGUGACUUCAUCUCAUUCUCCCAGUCUUCUGCUAUCAUGAGCUUCCAUUUGUAAUCAUCUCCAAGGAGAGCACAGACUAUCCAAAAUCAGGGUCUUAGAGUAGAAUUUAUAUCUCUGACUUUCAUAUUUUACAAAAUAUUAUUUAAAACAUCCCAAAUAUGCAAUUAUUUGUUAGACACUGCCCUAAGAUAUAUGAGGCACCAUCUCCAUCUCUCUAUUUAAAGAGAGUUUAGAAUCUAUGGGAAAGAGAAGACAUAUAAAUAUACACCAGGAACAAGUGUGAUCUCAUCUUUGGUCAAAAAGACAUUUCAAAAAGAAAGAAGUUAGAAAUUAAUUUUGUGGAAUGUUCACCAUAAGGUUAACUUGUUUUCUCCAAGUGGUGGUAAUUAGGUUGAUUUUUGUCUUCUUCCUAGUACUUUAUCCCUCGUUUGAAUUUUUUUGUUAAGUAUGAAUAGUUUUUAUAAAGAAUAUACUGCUAUUUCAAAAAGAGAGAGCACUUCAUGGAGGAAAUGGUACUUUUUUAAAAUGAUUUUUUUUAUUGUAAUUGGUUCACAGUGUUCCGUUAAUUUUCUACUGUACAGGAGUUCCCGUCAUGGCUCAAUGGUUAACGAA